AACGCUAGCUACAGGCUUAACACAUGCAAGUCGAGGGGCAUCAGGGUAGCAAUACCGCUGGCGACCGGCGCACGGGUGAGUAACACGUAUCCAACCUACCGUUAACUCGGGGAUAGCCUUUCGAAAGAAAGAUUAAUACCCGAUAGUAUAUUUUCUUCGCAUGUUGAAAAUAUUAAAGAAUUUCGGUUAUCGAUGGGGAUGCGUUCCAUUAGGCAGUUGGCGGGGUAACGGCCCACCAAACCUACGAUGGAUAGGGGUUCUGAGAGGAAGGUCCCCCACAUUGGAACUGAGACACGGUCCAAACUCCUACGGGAGGCAGCAGUGAGGAAUAUUGGUCAAUGGACGAAGGUCUGAACCAGCCAAGUAGCGUGAAGGAUGACUGCCCUAUGGGUUGUAAACUUCUUUUAUAUGGGAAUAAAGUUCUCCACGUGUGGAGUUUUGUAUGUACCAUUAUGAAUAAGCAUCGGCUAACUCCGUGCCUGCAGCCGCGGUAAUACGGAGGAUGCGAGCGUUAUCCGGAUUUAUUGGGUUUAAAGGGAGCGUAGGUGGACUGGUAAGUCAGUUGUGAAAGUUUGCGGCUCAACCGUAAAAUUGCAGUUGAUACUGUCAGUCUUGAGUACAGUAGAGGUGGGCGGAAUUCGUGGUGUAGCGGUGAAAUGCUUAGAUAUCACGAAGAACUCCGAUUG
rnacentral:rRNA from 1 species